rnacentral:rRNA from 1 species
UCAAAGGCGGGAGCUUCCACAUGCAGUCGUACCAUGGUAAUCAGUUCGGGAGGGGAUUAGUGGCGAACGGGUGAGUAACACGUGGGCAAUCUGCCCUGCACUCUGGGACAAGCCCUGGAAACGGGGUCUAAUACCGGAUACUGACCCGCUUGGGCAUCCAAGCGGUUCGAAAGCUCCGGCGGUGCAGGAUGAGCCCGCGGCCUAUCAGCUUGUUGGUGAGGUAAUGGCUCACCAAGGCGACGACGGGUAGCCGGCCUGAGAGGGCGACCGGCCACACUGGGACUGAGACACGGCCCAGACUCCUACGGGAGGCAGCAGUGGGGAAUAUUGCACAAUGGGCGAAAGCCUGAUGCAGCGACGCCGCGUGAGGGAUGACGGCCUUCGGGUUGUAAACCUCUUUCAGCAGGGAAGAAGCGAAAGUGACGGUACCUGCAGAAGAAGCGCCGGCUAACUACGUGCCAGCAGCCGCGGUAAUACGUAGGGCGCGAGCGUUGUCCGGAAUUAUUGGGCGUAAAGAGCUCGUAGGCGGCUUGUCACGUCGGUUGUGAAAGCCCGGGGCUUAACCCCGGGUCUGCAGUCGAUACGGGCAGGCUAGAGUUCGGUAGGGGAGAUCGGAAUUCCUGGUGUAGCGGUGAAAUGCGCAGAUAUCAGGAGGAACACCGGUGGCGAAGGCGGAUCUCUGGGCCGAUACUGACGCUGAGGAGCGAAAGCGUGGGGAGCGAACAGGAUUAGAUACCCUGGUAGUCCACGCCGUAAACGGUGGGCACUAGGUGUGGGCGACAUUCCACGUCGUCCGUGCCGCAGCUAACGCAUUAAGUGCCCCGCCUGGGGAGUACGGCCGCAAGGCUAAAACUCACAGGAAUUGACGGGGGCCCGCACAAGCGGCGGAGCAUGUGGCUUAAUUCGACGCAACGCGAAGAACCUUACCAAGGCUUGACAUACACCGGAAAGAUCAGAGAUGAUGCCCCCCUUGUGGUCGGUGUACAGGUGGUGCAUGGCUGUCGUCAGCUCGUGUCGUGAGAUGUUGGGUUAAGUCCCGCAACGAGCGCAACCUUUGUCCCGUGUUGCCAGCAGGCCCUUGUGGUGCUGGGGACUCACGGGAGACCCGCCGGGUCAACUCCGAAGAAAGGGGGGGACGACGUCAAAUCAUCAUGGCCCCUUAUGUCUUGGGGUGCCAACCGGGUACAAUGGGCCGUGAAAUAAAUUGGGAUCCCCGGAGGUGGAGCGAAACCUCAAAAAACCGGGUCUUUUUUGAAUUGGGGUUUGGCAUCCCACCCCUGAAUAUGGAAGCUCUGGUAAUCCCAAAAAACAAUUGGUGGGGGGAUAAAUUUCCUGGGCGUGGUAAAAAAGACCUGCCGUUCGAAAAAUCGGUAAACCCGAACCUGGGGCACGCCCUCG